GCAAGUCGAGGGGCAGCAUUUCUAACUUGCUAGCAGAUGGCGUCCUGCGCACGGGUGCGUAACGCGUAUACAAUCUACCUAUUACUGAGGGAUAGCCCGAAGAAAUUUGGAUUAAGACCUCAUAGUAUUAUUGAUCCGCAUGGUUUAAUAAUUAAAGGUUACGGUAAUAGAUGAGUAUGCGUCCUAUUAGCUAGAUGGUAAGGUAACGGCUUACCAUGGCUACGAUAGGUAGGGGUCCUGAGAGGGAGAUC
rnacentral:rRNA from 1 species